rnacentral:lncRNA from 1 species
UGGCUAAUCUGAAGAGUUCCAGUAGAUGGAGACUCUGGUGAAGAGUCCCACUAGAUGGAGACUCUACUGAAGAGUCUCACUGGACGGGGACUCUAGAGAAGAGUCCCACUAGACUUGGACUCUAUGAUUAAUGAAAGAUUAAUUAGUGAUUAGAUUAUUAAUUAGCUUAAUUUGAUUGAGCAUUAAAGUCUGGAUCAAG